rnacentral:rRNA from 1 species
GACGAACGCUGGCGGCGUGCUUAACACAUGCAAGUCGAACGGAAAGGCCCUGCUUUUGUGGGGUGCUCGAGUGGCGAACGGGUGAGUAACACGUGAGUAACCUGCCCUUGACUUUGGGAUAACUUCAGGAAACUGGGGCUAAUACCGGAUAGGAGCUCCUGCUGCAUGGUGGGGGUUGGAAAGUUUCGGCGGUUGGGGAUGGACUCGCGGCUUAUCAGCUUGUUGGUGGGGUAGUGGCUUACCAAGGCUUUGACGGGUAGCCGGCCUGAGAGGGUGACCGGCCACAUUGGGACUGAGAUACGGCCCAGACUCCUACGGGGGGCAGCAGUGGGGAGUAUUGCACAAUGGGCGGAAGCCUGAGGCAGCAACGCCGCGUGCGGGAUGACGGCCUUCGGGUUGUAAACCGCUUUCGCCUGUGACGAAGCGUGAGUGACGGUAAUGGGUAAAGAAGCACCGGCUAACUACGUG